CCGGGUUAGACAACAGAGGACACCCUUAGAAAUAAGGUCUCCCCUUCGGGGGCCUCUGGUUCAGGUGCUGCAUGGCUGUCGUCAGCUCGUGUCGUGAGAUGUUGGGUUAAGUCCCGCAACGAGCGCAACCCUUGCCUUUAGUUGCCAUCAUUUAGUUGGGCACUCUAAAGGGACUGCCCGUGUCAAACGGGAGGAAGGCGGGGAUGACGUCAAGUCCUCAUGGCCCUUAUAUCCGGGGCUACACACGUGCUACAAUGGGCGGUACAAAGGGCAGCAAACCCGCGAGGGGGAGCCAAUCCCAAAAAGCCGCUCUCAGUUCGGAUUGGAGUCUGCAACUCGACUCCAUGAAGGCGGAAUCGCUAGUAAUCGCGGAUCAGCAUGCCGCGGUGAAUACGUUCCC
rnacentral:rRNA from 1 species